GAUAAAAAGAGUCACUGGGAAGAAGACGCAAAGAUGAAAAAAUGUGAGGCAAAAAUCAUUUUAUUUUAAAGGUUUUCGGAAAAGUGAUUCACGUCAUUUUUCGGAUUCCAUGAACAGAUUAUCUCGAAGGUAUCACUCAAGUUUAAGAGACGGGACUUUUUUCUCCCCCGCCCUUUUCCACGCAUCAGUGAAAGGGGAGGGAGGAGACGGAGGAGAGAAGAGGCAGGGAGGCGAAAAAGUGACAGAAGCAAGAGAGAAAGGGAGAGAGGGGUGUUGAAGGAAGGAAGGGAGGAAGGCAAGAGGAGAGGGGUGCUAGGCGUGCUGGAGAGCCUCGGGCGUCCGCCCGCCCGCAGGCGCCCCGGACCAGCAAGGGCGGCGCAAGACUUCCCCAGCGCGCAGUCAGCGUCGCGGCCCCGAAAGCUGGCGACAGGCGCUGCUGUCUUCCCGCCCCGUGGGGUCGCCUCUGCCCUCCCGCGCCCCGGGGCUGGGGGCGCCACCUUGCCAGUUCCGACUGCUGCAGGGAGCGCCAGGGGAGGAGUUUGGGAGAGAAUGAAUUGGACUGUGAACCUUUCAUGAACUUCUCAAAAGAACAGGAACAUGAGGAGACGAAAUGGUGAUGAAAACCCACAAUUCAAUCUACCACAGUAUGGCACCAUCGAUGGUACCAGAACCUGUCUGCAGAAACUCUGCAUGCUUUCCUCGUUCUCCUGUCCUGCUAUCAUUUGGGGACCAAGGAUAUCUUUAUUUCUCAAACAGUAUUAGAGAAACUGGGUGAGACCAUAUUCUGUCUCAGGGAACCUGUUUGAUCAAUGCUUCUGCAAAUCCUCUUUCUAUAAUAGCUGGAAACUGUUUCUCUUCAUGCUAUUUUCUUGCUCAUACAUCAAUGAUUGAUUUCCCCUAGGUUACAAGCAAAAAUAAAUAUUUCAUAGCUUUUUCUACUCUACCCUUGCAUAUUUUUAUGAAAUCAGCUCUGCCACUCGUUCUUUUUACCUGCUUGGUUUUCUCAUAAACUCCAUGUCUUUUUAAUCCUCUGUACUUUCCAUAGCCAGCCUCUCCAGUUAGAAUGCUUUUCCCUGCUUAUACAUCCCGUAAACGCCCAUUAUUCUCAGAUCAGCUUCUCUAUAAAGCAUUGCCAACCUUUGCUUCAUCUCAGAAAGUAGGUGUUUUCCAGCUUAGUGUUCCUAUCCCUGCAGUGCACUUCGAUAACGUCUCUUUAAGCCUGUAUCUUGCCAUAUUGGUACUAUUUGUCUUACCUACUACCGUGUAAAUUCCUUGAAUGGAGAACAGUACCACAGCACCUAGAAUGUGCUUGAAAGUCCACAAAUAGUAGAUAAUGGAAGGUGUUGCUUUCAUUAUUAUUAUUAUUAUUUUGGAGACAAGGUCUCACUCUGUCACCCAGGCUGGAGUGCAGUGGUGUGCUCUUGGAUCACUGCAACCUCUGCCUCCUGGUCUCAAUAGAUCCUCCCACCUCAGCCUCCCAAGUAGCUGGGACUGCAAGCAUGGGCCACCAUGCCCGGCUAAUUUGUGUUUUUGUAGAGACAGGCUUUCGCCAUGUUGCCCAGGCUGGUCUCAAACUCCUGAGCUCAAGUCAUCUGCCAGCCUCAGCCUCCCAAAGUGUGGGAAUUACAGGUUUGAGCCACCACUAUCAUUAUUUUCUUUCUUUCUUUCUUUAUUUUACUUUAAGUCCCAGGAUACAUGUGCAGAACAUGCAGGUUCAUUACAUAGGUAUAUGUGUGCCAUGGUGAUUUCCUGCACCUAUUGACCCAUCCUCUAAGUUUCCUCCCCUCUCCCCACAACCCCCAACAGGCCCUGGUAUGUGUUAUUCCCCUCCCUGUGUCCAUGUGUUGUCAUUGUUCAGCUCCCACUUAUACUAUAAUUAUUUUCAUUGCCCUUAUCAACUUAAUUUUUUUUUCCUUUCCUAGGCAGUCACAUUCUUACCUGAAUUUUCUUUGUCAAACUGUGCUACCAUUUUGUAUCCUGUGUCGUAAACAAGUGUAAUUUUUAUGCAAGCACUAUUUUUAUAUAAUUCUAAACACCAAGACUUUAAAACCUAGAAGAAAACUGCAGUAUGUAUGCUUCUCUCAUUUGCAUGAAAAUAGCAUUCUGUAAUUGAGAUUUCAAAGUUGAGAAAUUCUAAAGCCUUUAUUUAAAAAAUCCUUUGAAAAAUUAAUCAUAUUUUUCCAGUUUUGUAAAUAAAUGAAUUGGAAAGCAAUGAAGCAAAAUUUAACAACCUUCAAAAUACACACUCACAUUCUAUUCCUAAGUUCUUUUAUAUUGCAAGUUGGUGCCAAAAAACAUAGCCCUAUCAUGAUGGUCCUGAGAGAAAACCUCAUUGAUUGGAAAAGGGUGAGGUGAUCUAGGAAUAACUGGCAUUCAGCUGUUGUAUCGUAGUUUCAGUACAACUUGGAAAAAUGGCACCACACAUUCACAGGAACUGUACCCUUCUCUCCUGGGGCAACUUAAUGAACUUCUCUGGCUACCUGCACAAGAUCUUCAUCACUCAGUUAAGGGCCAGAGAGAGCAAAAUAUUUAAAUAUGUAGCAAGUAAGCCUACUCUAUGGUAGAUCUACACUAGGUUUGAAGAGUUCUGUAGUUCCAUCUGGGUAGGGGAGGGUAAUUGUAUAACUCUUGAUACUUUUGGUAUACCAUCUAGAUGACCCUUCCAACACAUUGGCCUCUCAGUUCCUUGGAAAAUCUCUCUUCCAAUGAUCUUGUUCCUCAUCCUACCUCAGUUACUCAAUCCCACGAGCUUAUCCUAGAUCUCUCCCAUAUCUGUGAUGUGUUUAUAUUAUUUAUUUUGUUAUAAGAUCGUUUUAUAAAUUCUGUUCCAUUUCUCAAAAAUCUGGUAAUUUAUAGCAUGUCUCUGCAUUCUUCAGUUGGUAGAUGAGAACUUUCAAAAACCCACUUUGUAACUGACGAAAUGAGGAACUUAUAUUUCCUGGCAUAACAUGAACUGGGAGUGUCAUUCAAGUUCGAUUAGUUAAGCACUAAAAAAAAUUAGGCUCAUGUUUUUAGCCUCUUUUUCUUACUUUAAAAGGAAUUUUUCUAACAAAUUCAGUUUAAGUGUAAAUACAACUCUUCAUUAUCCACAACAACAGGGAAUGGAAAAUUGGGAUCUACAGAUAAUUCAAAAUUUUACUUUAAAGAGCACAUUCAACCUUUGUUCCCAAUGAGCUCUUAACAUUGCUUAGAGCUAAGAAUUAAUUUGUGUGGAUUUUAUCACUUUUUAUUUGACACCUCACCCAAGGAAGAAUGCUGAUCAGCAGUGAAUUAGGCACUGAGUAGAGUAGCCAGAAAGAGUGAAAUCAGAAACCUGAGCACUUGAAUCAACCACAAAUUUCAUAUCUAACCCUUGAACAUUUUAAAUGAAAUAUAUCUUCAUUUUAGUUUUAUAAUAGCAAUAGACAUUCUAAGACAGAACUAAAUAUAGAACAUUUUUUGAGUGCGUAGAUUUUCUGAAAAAGAUCACCUGUUCUAUUGUUACUUGAAAAUGUACAUUAAUGUAUUUAAUUCAACCUUCUGGAUGAAACAGUGCUAGAACUAUGUCAUACUUUACCAAAUCCAUCCCUUCCCAAUAACAAAACAAAGAAAUGUUUCCCUUUCCUUCCUGUUUUCUUCAGGUGCUUUUCAUCAACAGAAAACCACUUGCUGACAUGUGGUUCAUUUCUAGGGUGGACAAGUAAUUUUUAAAAAUUUAUUGUGGCAAAGUCAGCAUACCAAAAAAAAAAAAAAGUUAAAAAAAAAGAUCUGUCCUAUGCUUUAUUUGUGAGGCUGUGAAGGAGACUUCUAUGGCUGUUGCUGCGUUGGGUUAUCUUUAUUUUACCUCCUGGUUGAGUGAUGAGCCUUUUCAAAGAGUAAAGAACCAAAGACAUGUCCUUCUGCCUGUUUGCUGCACCUCAGUUUGGUCUCCAGACUCUGAUAUUGUUGGGUGGCUUCAUGAAAAUUAUCCACCAAUUUCUUUAAAAAAUCAGUUUCUUUUAUUAUCAUUUAAAGAUAAGUAAUAUUCUACAUUUGUAUGUAACAAGCAGAAUCUGAAAUCCAGUAUUCAGACUAUCAAAUGAAGCAUAUGCGAUAUGCAGAAUAUGCCUAAAAAGCUGUGAUCUUCCUUAAAACACUGAAAUCCAAGUCCUCCAAAUUUGGCAGAGGAGAAAGCCUCCCUGUUCAUGAGAAGGCAGUCGGACCACUAACCUUCACGGUCAUUCCUCUGGGAUUCCCCCCUUCCUUAGGGAUCUCUCUGACUGCAUUUGCACAUUCACACUGUCCUGAGGGACUUAAGGAGCUUUUCAUCUAUGUUUGCGCACUUGUAUUCCACUCACCAAACAUGUUAUUAACUACUCUUUUUUGGUUCAAGUGAACCAGCCACUCAUGCAAAACACACUUUUAUGCUCAUGGAGGUAAUAUAUAGGUCUUCCUUUAGAAAAGGAAAUUUGCAAAAAUAACGAUGUUACUUAAUAAAAUAAAAAACAUAAUUUAUUCUUGUAAUUUACCCUGUUAUGUAAUCAAAGGUAUAUACAAUUUGUAAGUACAUCAUAGAUUACUGAUAUGCUCAAUUAGAGCCAGUAAUUAAUAUUUGCAACAGAAGCAUAAAUAUGAUCUUUAAAAACUGACUAAUCACUUUUGCUUGUUUAAAAUUUUUUAUCCUUAAAUAGUCUUUAGUGUGAUAUAUACAAUAGUAUUUCCCUAAUUUAAGCAUUUUUAGUCUUAUUUACAAAAUAAAUUGAGUCCUAUUAUUUCAUUUGAAAUGAAUUUUUAUUUUGAAAAUAAUUUGGUAGAACAUAAAACAAAAUCUUCUUGGGUAGUUAAAUAUUUAAUGUUGACACAGUCUUUUUGUGACAUAUUUGCUUCACCUGGAUAUGAUUCUAGAGAGUCUAUGAGCCCCUUGAAAUUGUGUGCAAAAAUAUAUGUGUCCUGGUAUUAUAUCAUUCUGGUGUAAAAGGUAGAACAGUUUUCCUCAGAACCAUGACGUAAAAUGAAAUCUAUGCAUUGUGUGUAAAUUCCUCCAAGCAGUAUAUUUUUAAUACUGAAAAAAUACUCAUGUGUGUGGACUCACUGAAGUAAAUGAAGUAGUGGUAAGUCCAUCAGCAUAUGCACACUGAUAUAUUUUCAGAAUAAUAGGAAUAUUCUUAGUCAUGUCAUAAAACUAUGUAUUAUAAUGAUAUAACUUCAUUAUUCACUAUCUCAUUUUCCUAUGCUCUGGUUUAUCAUCAUGAAGACAUUAAUUUCUCAUGAUUUCUCGUGCUAUCUAUGGAAAUAAUCCUUUAUUGAAAAAAUAAGUAUCUUGAAAUUAGUGGCAGCAAAAUGGAUUUGAGAAGAUCUCAUUAAAGUGUAUUUAGCAACAUCUCACUGAAUCUUGGUUACUUUAUAUUUUUACACACAGAAAAAUAUUUUGGAUGUUUUAGAAAAAAAAUGUGUAGAAUUAGAGAGCUCUAACUGUGAACACCAACAUUGUUUCGCCACCUGUAUCUUGCAUUAAGAGACAGAUGGACUUGCGCCAGAGAUUUAAAGUCAAAUAAAGAAGUUCCUGGGUGAAAAUCAGUAUUACUGAAAAAUAUUUUACAAUGAGUUCUUUCUCUAAGCAAUGUUUAUGGCACAUGUAUUGAUAUUUGAAGUAGAAAUUAGUUUUAAGUAAAUACGACAUAUAAAUAAUAUUACGUGGAGUUCCAUGAAAGAAGGGACUGUGUCCUACACUGAAUUAAUAGUUGAUAAAUGAAAAAAUAAUCAAUGAAUCAAUAUAUGGAUGUGGUAAAUUCAUAGCUAUUUUUCUGUCUCCUGGUAGUGUGGGGUCUAAGUAUACCCUAAAUAACUCUUGAAAUAUUCUUAUAUAUAUGAGAAGAAUUUGCUAAUAUGAUGGACAAACAUCAUGCUCCAAUGAAGUAAUAAUCUAAUCAAGGUGAACAAAAUAUUUUGGUCUACAAAAUAAAUAACAAUGCAAAUAUUAGUAACUAACUUUAGUAGGGUCUUUGUACUUUAAAAUAUAUUAAGAAAUUAUUAUUAUUAUUAUUAUUUUGAGAUGGAGUCUCACUCUGUCGCCCAGGCUGGAGUGCAGUGGCGCCAUCUCGGCUCACCGCAAGCUCAGCCUCCCGGCUUCACGCCAUUCUCCUACCUCAGCCUCCCGAGUAGCUGGGAUUACAGGCGCCGGCCACCACGCCCGGCUAAUUUUUUGUAUUUUUAGUAGAGACGGGGUUUCACCGUGUUAGCCAGGAUGGUCUCGAUUUCCUAAUCUCGUGAUCCGCCUGCUUCAGCCUCCCAAAGUGCUGGGAUUACAGGCGUGAGCCACCGUGCCCGGCCCACAGAUACAAAUUAUUUCUAUCCAGAAGAAAAACAAACUUCAGUGCUAUAGAUUAUUAUCCCAGAAAUCUUAUACUAAUAUUGUCUCAAAAGGCCUAUAAAUAUUCAGAUCUUCAAAAUGCCCUUUGAAUCAGCCUUGCCGUCUGAUUGGUUUAUUCAUUAAUUAAGAAAUUGAAUAAUAUCUUUGACACAUGUUUAUUUUAUAUUUUUAUGAGCCACAUUGCUAACUUUUGGAAACUUAAUGGAUUAUUGUAAUCUUCACAACUGCAUGAAGUAGGUACUAAAAUCAUCACCAUGCACUAUUAUUACUAUUAACAGUACGAUAGGUACUAGUUUCAUCCCCGUAAGGAAACAGAAUUAGUAAGAUUAAAUUACUUAUCACACAGGUGGUAAGAAUUUCAAGCUCUCUAAUGCCAAGAGCCUGUGUUCAUAACCACUAUACUGUGCCACCUGCCUAGAAGCUAAAAGAGAACUCGUAUUGAGUAACUAAAGCUAAAAUCCGUAUCUUCCAUGUGUCUUGAAAGUAUUGUCAAAGGCAAAGAGAAUUUAUAAAAGUACUUCGUCACUAAAUUAAUGUGAUAGUAGAAAUAAUUAAUUAUAUGUAAUGUAUAAUAUGUAUUAUACACACAAACACACACAUAAGAA